rnacentral:rRNA from 1 species
GGGACACGUGGUAUCCUGUCUGAAUAUGGGGGGACCAUCCUCCAAGGCUAAAUACUCCUGACUGACCGAUAGUGAACCAGUACCGUGAGGGAAAGGCGAAAAGAACCCCGGCGAGGGGAGUGAAAAAGAACCUGAAACCGUGUACGUACAAGCAGUGGGAGCCCUGAUUUAUCAGGGUGACUGCGUACCUUUUGUAUAAUGGGUCAGCGACUUAUAUUCUGUAGCAAGGUUAACCGAAUAGGGGAGCCGGAGGGAAACCGAGUCUUAACUGGGCGUUAAGUUGCAGGGUAUAGACCCGAAACCCGGUGAUCUAGCCAUGGGCAGGUUGAAGGUUGGGUAACACUAACUGGAGGACCGAACCGACUAAUGUUGAAAAAUUAGCGGAUGACUUGUGGCUGGGGGUGAAAGGCCAAUCAAACCGGGAGAUAGCUGGUUCUCCCCGAAAGCUAUUUAGGUAGCGCCUCGUGAAUUCAUCUCCGGGGGUAGAGCACUGUUUCGGCAAGGGGGUCAUCCCGACUUACCAACCCGAUGCAAACUGCGAAUACCGGAGAAUGUUAUCACGGGAGACACACGGCGGGUGCUAACGUCCGUCGUGAAGAGGGAAACAACCCAGACCGCCAGCUAAGGUCCCAAAGUCAUGGUUAAGUGGGAAACGAUGUGGGAAGGCCCAGACAGCCAGGAUGUUGGCUUAGAAGCAGCCAUCAUUUAAAGAAAGCGUAAUAGCUCACUGGUCGAGUCGGCCUGCGCGGAAGAUGUAACGGGGCUAAACCAUGCACCGAAGCUGCGGCAGCGACGCUGAUGCGUUGUUGGGUAGGGGAGCGUUCUGUAAGCCUGUGAAGGUGUGCUGUGAGGUAUGCUGGAGGUAUCAGAAGUGCGAAUGCUGACAUAAGUAACGAUAAAGCGGGUGAAAAGCCCGCUCGCCGGAAGACCAAGGGUUCCUGUCCAACGUUAAUCGGGGCAGGGUGAGUCGACCCCUAAGGCGAGGCCGAAAGGCGUAGUCGAUGGGAAACAGGUUAAUAUUCCUGUACUUGGUGUUACUGCGAAGGGGGGACGGAGAAGGCUAUGUUGGCCGGGCGACGGUUGUCCCGGUUUAAGCGUGUAGGCUGGUUUUCCAGGCAAAUCCGGAGAAUCAAGGCUGAGGCGUGAUGACGAGGCACUACGGUGCUGAAGCAACAAAUGCCCUGCUUCCAGGAAAAGCCUCUAAGCAUCAGGUAACAUCAAAUCGUACCCCAAACCGACACAGGUGGUCAGGUAGAGAAUACCAAGGCGCUUGAGAGAACUCGGGUGAAGGAACUAGGCAAAAUGGUGCCGUAACUUCGGGAGAAGGCACGCUGAUAUGUAGGUGAAGCGACUUGCUCGUGGAGCUGAAAUCAGUCGAAGAUACCAGCUGGCUGCAACUGUUUAUUAAAAACACAGCACUGUGCAAACACGAAAGUGGACGUAUACGGUGUGACGCCUGCCCGGUGCCGGAAGGUUAAUUGAUGGGGUCAGCGCAAGCGAAGCUCUUGAUCGAAGCCCCGGUAAACGGCGGCCGUAACUAUAACGGUCCUAAGGUAGCGAAAUUCCUUGUCGGGUAAGUUCCGACCUGCACGAAUGGCGUAAUGAUGGCCAGGCUGUCUCCACCCGAGACUCAGUGAAAUUGAACUCGCUGUGAAGAUGCAGUGUACCCGCGGCAAGACGGAAAGACCCCGUGAACCUUUACUAUAGCUUGACACUGAACACUGGUCCUUGAUGUGUAGGAUAGGUGGGAGGCUUUGAAGUGUGGACGCCAGUCUGCAUGGAGCCGUCCUUGAAAUACCACCCUUUAAUGGCUGGUGUUCUAACGUGGGCCCGUAAUCCGGGUUGCGGACAGUGUCUGGUGGGUAGUUUGACUGGGGCGGUCUCCUCCUAAAGAGUAACGGAGGAGCACGAAGGUUGGCUAAUCCUGGUCGGACAUCAGGAGGUUAGUGCAAUGGCAUAAGCCAGCUUGACUGCGAGCGUGACGGCGCGAGCAGGUGCGAAAGCAGGUCAUAGUGAUCCGGUGGUUCUGAAUGGAAGGGCCAUCGCUCAACGGAUAAAAGGUACUCCGGGGAUAACAGGCUGAUACCGCCCAAGAGUUCAUAUCGACGGCGGUGUUUGGCACCUCGAUGUCGGCUCAUCACAUCCUGGGGCUGAAGUAGGUCCCAAGGGUAUGGCUGUUCGCCAUUUAAAGUGGUACGCGAGCUGGGUUUAGAACGUCGUGAGACAGUUCGGUCCCUAUCUGCCGUGGGCGCUGGAGAACUGAGGGGGGCUGCUCCUAGUACGAGAGGACCGGAGUGGACGCAUCACUGGUGUUCGGGUUGUCAUGCCAAUGGCACUGCCCGGUAGCUAAAUGCGGAAGAGAUAAGUGCUGAAAGCAUCUAAGCACGAAACUUGCCCCGA